UACGUAGGGGGCGAGCGUUGUCCGGAUUUACUGGGCGUAAAGCGCGUGUAGGCGGCCCGUUAAGUGGGGUGUGAAAGCCCGGGGCUCAACCCCGGGACGCCGCUUCAAACUGGCGGGCUUGAGGACGGAAGAGGGGAGUGGAAUUCCUGGUGUAGCGGUGAAAUGCGCAGAUAUCAGGAGGAACACCGGUGGCGAAGGCGGGUCUCUGGGCCGUAAGCUGACGCUGAGGAGCGAAAGCGUGGGGAGCGAACAGG
rnacentral:rRNA from 1 species